GAUGAACGCUGGCGGCGUGCCUAAUACAUGCAAGUCGAACGCACAGCGAAAGGUGCUUGCACCUUUCAAGUGAGUGGCGAACGGGUGAGUAACACGUGGACAACCUGCCUCAAGGCUGGGGAUAACAUUUGGAAACAGAUGCUAAUACCGAAUAAAACUUAGUGUCGCAUGACAAAAAGUUAAAAGGCGCUUCGGCGUCACCUAGAGAUGGAUCCGCGGUGCAUUAGUUAGUUGGUGGGGUAAAGGCCUACCAAGACAAUGAUGCAUAGCCGAGUUGAGAGACUGAUCGGCCACAUUGGGACUGAGACACGGCCCAAACUCCUACGGGAGGCUGCAGUAGGGAAUCUUCCACAAUGGGCGAAAGCCUGAUGGAGCAACGCCGCGUGUGUGAUGAAGGCUUUCGGGUCGUAAAGCACUGUUGUAUGGGAAGAACAGCUAGAAUAGGAAAUGAUUUUAGUUUGACGGUACCACACCAGAAAGGGACGGCUAAACACGUGCCAGCAGCCGCGGUAAUACGUAUGUCCCGAGCGUUAUCCGGAUUUAUUGGGCGUAAAGCGAGCGCAGACGGUUUAUUAAGUCUGAUGUGAAAGCCCGGAGCUCAACUCCGGAAUGGCAUUGGAAACUGGUUAACUUGAGUGCAGUAGAGGUAAGUGGAACUCCAUGUGUAGCGGUGGAAUGCGUAGAUAUAUGGAAGAACACCAGUGGCGAAGGCGGCUUACUGGACUGCAACUGACGUUGAGGCUCGAAAGUGUGGGUAGCAAACAGGAUUAGAUACCUUGGUAGUCCACACCGUAAACGAUGAACACUAGGUGUUAGGAGGUUUCCGCCUCUUAGUGCCGAAGCUAACGCAUUAAGUGUUCCGCCUGGGGAGUACGACCGCAAGGUUGAAACUCAAAGGAAUUGACGGGGACCCGCACAAGCGGUGGAGCAUGUGGUUUAAUUCGAAGCAACGCGAAGGACCUUACCAGGUCUUGACAUCCUUUGAAGCUUUUAGAGAUAGAAGUGUUCUCUUCGGAGACAAAGUGACAGGUGGUGCAUGGUCGUCGUCAGCUCGUGUCGUGAGAUGUUGGGUUAAGUCCCGCAACGAGCGCAACCCUUAUUGUUAGUUGCCAGCAUUCAGAUGGGCACUCUAGCGAGACUGCCGGUGACAAACCGGAGGAAGGCGGGGACGACGUCAGAUCAUCAUGCCCCUUAUGACCUGGGCUACACACGUGCUACAAUGGCGUAUACAACGAGUUGCCAACCCGCGAGGGUGAGCUAAUCUCUUAAAGUACGUCUCAGUUCGGAUUGUAGUCUGCAACUCGACUACAUGAAGUCGGAAUCGCUAGUAAUCGCGGAUCAGCACGCCGCGGUGAAUACGUUCCCGGGUCU
rnacentral:rRNA from 1 species